rnacentral:rRNA from 1 species
UACGAAGGGGGCUAGCGUUGCUCGGAAUCACUGGGCGUAAAGGGUGCGUAGGCGGGUCUUUAAGUCAGGGGUGAAAUCCUGGAGCUCAACUCCAGAACUGCCUUUGAUACUGAAGAUCUUGAGUUCGGGAGAGGUGAGUGGAACUUGCGAGUGUAGAGGUGAAAUUCGUAGAUAUUCGCAAGAACACCAGUGGCGAAGGCGGCUCACUGGCCCGAUACUGACGCUGAGGCACGAAAGCGUGGGGAGCAAACAGGG